AACGAACGCUGGCGGCAUGCCUAACACAUGCAAGUCGAACGAGACCUUCGGGUCUAGUGGCGCACGGGUGCGUAACACGUGGGAAUUUGCCUCGGGGUAUGGAAUAACUCAGGGAAACUUGAGCUAAUACCAUAUAAUGUCUUCGGACCAAAGAUUUAUCGCCCUGAGAUAAGCCCGCGUAGGAUUAGCUAGUUGGUGGGGUAAAGGCUCACCAAGGCGACGAUCCUUAGCUGGUCUGAGAGGAUGAUCAGCCACACUGGGACUGAGACACGGCCCAGACUCCUACGGGAGGCAGCAGUGGGGAAUAUUGGACAAUGGGCGAAAGCCUGAUCCAGCAAUGCCGCGUGAGUGAUGAAGGCCUUCGGGUUGGUUAAAGGUACGU
rnacentral:rRNA from 1 species